rnacentral:rRNA from 1 species
GACGAACCGUCCAAACGUUAUUCGGAAUCACUGGGCUUAAAGGGUGCGUAGGCGGCGCGGAAAGUUGGGUGUGAAAUCCCUCGGCUCAACCGAGGAAUUGCGCCCAAAACUACCGUGCUCGAGGGAGAUAGAGGUGAGCGGAACUUAGGGUGGAGCGGUGAAAUGCGUUGAUAUCCUAAGGAACACCGGUGGCGAAAGCGGCUCACUGGAUCUCUUCUGACGCUGAGGCACGAAAGCUAGGGUAGAGAACGGG